GACGAACGCUGGCGGCGUGCUUAACACAUGCAAGUCGAACGGAAAGGCCCUGCUUUUGUGGGGUGCUCGAGUGGCGAACGGGUGAGUAACACGUGAGUAACCUGCCCUUGACUUUGGGAUAACUUCAGGAAACUUGGGCUAAUACCGGAUAGGAGCUCCUGCGGCAUGGUGGGGGUUGGAAAGUUUCGGCGGUUGGGGAUGGACUCGCGGCUUAUCAGCUUGUUGGUGGGGUAGUGGCUUACCAAGGCUUUGACGGGUAGCCGGCCUGUGAGGGUGACCGGCCACAUUGGGACUGAGAUACGGCCCAGACUCCUACGGGAGGCAGCAGUGGGGAAUAUUGCACAAUGGGCGGAAGUCUGAUGCAGCAACGCCGCGUGCGGGAUGACGGCCUUCGGGUUGUAAACCGCUUUCGCCUGUGACGAAGCGUGAGUGACGGUAAUGGGUAAAGAAGCACCGGCUAACUACGUG
rnacentral:rRNA from 1 species